CGGAGCUGGAUUUGGUGACUAAGAGUCACUGUGAUGAGGAUGUUAAUCCUGCAAUGAUCCCAUGAAGGUUUCGUGUUCUGUACUGUGUCAAUAUGAAAAUCACAGUCUCACCCCCUACCCUCCAUCCCCCUAGACCUCUGUGAUGUGUCCUUGGUCCCAAGGUUAUCCCUGCACAUCAUGUCCACGUGUUAGGGGUGACUCACAUCCCCCCAAAACUCAUAUGUUGACAUCAUAACUCCCAGUGCCUCAGAAUGUGGCCUUAUUUGGAAAUAGAAUCUUUGUAGAUAUAAUUAGUUAGGGUGAGGUCACACUGGAUAGGGUGGAUCCGUACUCCAAUAAGACUGGUGUCUGUAUAAAAAGAGGGAAUUUGGACAAACACACACACACACACAUAACACACACACACACACACACACACACACACACACACGGAGAAUGCCAUGUGGGGAUGCAGACCAAGAUCAGAGUGCCGUGUCUCCAAGCCAGGGGACGCCAAAGAUGGCCAGCAGGCGCCGAAGGCCAGGGGGAGGCCUGGAGCAGAUCGUCCCUCACGUCAGGAGCAGCCCACCCCGCCUGCUUCUAGAUCUCGGACUGCAGGCCUCCCUCCCAAGCUGCUGCGGGAGAGUAAAUUCCUGUUGUUUGAGCCUCCAGCUUGCGGUGCUUUGUUACAGCAGCCCUGGGAGACUAAUCCACCCUCUUCACAGCAUUAGCAGAGGUUUAACCCCUCAAGUCCCCAGGUCAUAAGCUGCAAAAUGAGACCCAGUACGACUCAGGUUACGACGCACUCCACGUUUAUUGAGCACCUAUGAGGCACCAGGCACCAUGCUAAGCCCAUGGAUCCCCAGAGUGACGUGUGAGACCCAAAGGCCGGUCCUGAACCCAGAAAACAGCCAUCACCCGCCAGACGCGGGGUAGGAAGCCUCAUACAUGACUCCAGCCCCAGCUGCCAACUGAACACCCAGGAGAUACCCAUGAAAGAGCAUCCAGCAGAGCCACCGACCCCGAACCAGAGGAUCAUCGCAGCAGCCCAGCUGCUGUGCAGCGAGGGGUUUUACAGGUCAGCCAGCGCCUGCUCCAUUUGCAGCCACCGUAAGCCCUCGUCCGCACCCGAACGGCAGCAAGCCUCCGCCUGGGAUGCUUUUUGUCACUGUUGACUCAUUUGCUUGUUUUUUAAACACCCAAGUCAUGGUGAAAAUGUUGAUAUUCCAGAAAGAUAGAAUUGGGAAAAUUCUCCACCUCUGGUUUUGGCAGCCGGGGGCAGAUAAAGAAAAGAAUUCAUCAGCACGAGUCUGCGAAACUGUAACAAUCGCAAAAUGCUGCCAAUAAAAAUUGCUCCUAUGAGGAUAACCAGAA